GCGAGGGGAGCUGGGAAAUGAGGCCCUAAAGUGAUGCUGGAGCUAAGUUAAUGAAGGCGUCUGGAGGCGGCCGGACUUCCGGCGUUGCUCUAGCUGUGCUCUUCUUGCAGCUGUGGGUGGAGACCAGCACUUGGAGAGCCGCGUUGCCGAGAAGAGGGUCGGGGACCCUCGUCGCGCCUGUGCGCGCGUCGUGACCCUCGGAAAUAACCCCAUUUUUCUAAGACUCGGUGUCGCCCACUGCGGAACGGGUGCCGGAGGGUCAGGGCCUCCCGCGGGCGGUUCCCUGGUCUUUGAGCACAUUUUACACGGAGGAGACCUAGCUUCGAAGGUUCCGCGGUCGGCCGGAGGUUCCUGCGCCCAAGGCGGGGUGGUAGGUACGGAUUUGAGCUGAGUAGACCGGAAUUCGGCGCCUAUCGCAGCCAAGCUCCGUCCACAGCUUCCGAUGGCCGAGGAGGCGCUGGGGCUGGUGACCUUUGAGGAUGUGGCUGUGUAUUUCUCCCGGGAGGAGUGGGGGCUCCUUAAUCUGACUCAGAGGAGCCUUUACCGUGAUGUGAUGCUAGAGAACUUUGCACUUAUUGGCUCGCUGGGAUUUGCAUCUUCAAGGUGCCAUGUGGUUGCCCAGCUGGAGAGUGAAGAAGAGUUCUGGGUUCCCAGCAUGGUGGACCUGACUCUGGUCAGCAGAGUUGAGGCCAGGAGGGGUCCUGGUCUUGGUUGUCCAUGUAGCCUGAAGGGUGGGGAAACCCCUACAGAGCAGAUGAAGAGUUACAGAGUCUACCUGUCAGAGAAGCCCUCUCUGCUUGGGGAGUCUGGGAAGGACGUGCCUACCACCUUAGGUCUUCUCCGGCACCAGGCCACCCACAGCAAGGGGAAGCUACACAGGAGCACCGAGCAUGGAGAAGCCUUCCAACCCAGCUCCAGUAGCCAACAGCAGCAGGCAGUCCACGCCACACAGAAGGCCUUCAAGUGCAGUGACUGCGGGAAAGCCUUCCCAAAGGCCUUUGCGCUCCUUGACCACCUGGUAACCCACCCCAAACAGAGACCCUUUAGAUGUCCAAAAGGUGGAAAUGCCCCCAAGGAGAAAUCCACCCAUGUUAAUUACCAAAAAAUUCACACUGGAGAAACAUCCCAUGUGUGUACUGAGUGCGGAAAGGCCUUUAGUUAUCCCUCUAAACUGAGGAAGCACCAGAAGGUUCACACGGGCAUAAAACCUUUCAAGUGUGAUGAAUGUGGCAAAACCUUCAACCGCAAAGAUGCACUCGUUCUGCACCAGAGAAUUCACACUGGAGAAAGGCCUUAUGAGUGCAACGAAUGUGGGAAAGCCUUCAGCGUUCUGUCUACUCUCAUUCGGCACCGGAAAGUUCACAUUGGAGAAAGGCCCUAUGAGUGCAGGGAAUGUGGGAAGUUCUUUAAAUACAACCAUAGCUUCCUUCUUCAUCAGAGAGUUCACACUGGAGAAAGGCCUUAUGAGUGCAAGCAAUGUGGGAAAACUUACGUGACCCGCUCUGGCCUGUAUCAGCACUGGAAAGUUCACACUGGAGAACGGCCCUAUGAGUGCAGCCUGUGUGGGAAGACCUUCACCACCAGGUCCUACCGCAAUCGGCACCAGCAGUUCCACACUGAAGAGAGGUCCUAUGAGUGUACAGAAUGUGGGAAAGCCUUCAAACAUAGUUCUACCCUUCUUCAGCACAAGAAAGUCCACACUGGAGAAAGGCCAUAAGAAGACAGGGGAUGUUGGAAAGCCUGUAGCUAGGGCUGGCACCUUGUUCAACAUGAAAAACCUCACUCAGAAAGGAGAGGAGAGUAGCCAUUUGAAAGCUAAACCUGGCACACCCCAACACAUGCGCUGGGGUGGCAGGUGUGUGGGAAGUUUUCAGGAGCUAGGUUGCACUUGGACCUGCCUAGGCUGUUGGCAGUGUUAAGUUGCUGCCAGUUUCCGUGAUACAAACCAUCUCAGCUCCACCACCUGGCAGGUGCCCAGGGUGUGCAUCAGGCACCGCAACGUGCUCUGGAACAGCAAGACCUCCAUGGUCGCCACUCUUUAAAGGAGAGAAUCAUGAGUGGUGGAGUCCGUGAUGGGCCUCAUUUGCUCCCUCCAACUGGUUCAGGUGUGCCUGCGACCAAGCUCUGGUCAAGAGUAGCUGAGCUGUGUCUACUGGGGGCUUCCAGAGAAGGUUAAUCCUUUCCAUGGACAUCGUUUACACUACGCAUGGUACCCGUCAUGGAUUUAUCCGACCCUGGAACUGACUGUCUCACACUUCCCUGGAAUGUAUGUUUGCACUGGGCGGACCUGGAGUCUGAGACCUAGAAGAGCAACUGGAUUUGCUGUAGUGUAAUGUCACCCUUCAUGGAUGCCACCACAUUCAGAGGUUCAUCCCCAUCUCUUCUCCAUGCAGCAAAGUAAAAUUCCCAAAGGUAACUGCAGAUCCAGCCCCCUGGUUGCCCAUUUCCCACAGGACCUGACCCUUCCUGUCCGGGGGCCCAUCUCUGACGAGGGAUGGCCCGAGGACUUCCAUCAGAGAUUUAUCUUUUUUAUGGACAUUGUUGACCCUACAUAGGACAUUUGUCAUGGAUUUGUCCAGCCUUCAACUUACUCAUCCCUGGUACAUAAUCACCUUAUACUGCUCUAGAUUAUAUGAUAACUUAGGUCUUUUUUUUUUAAAUAUAAUUUUCUGUCAAGUUGGCAAACAUACAGUGUAUACAGUGUGCUUUUAGUUUUGGGGGUAGAUUCCAUGAUUCAUUGCUUACAACACUCAGUGCUCAUCCCAACAAGUGCUCUCCUCAAUGCCCAUCACCCAUUUUCCCUCCCCCACCGCCCCGCCUUCCCCAUCAACCCUCAGUUUGUUCUCUGUAUUUAAGAGUCUCUUAUGGUUUGCCUCCUUCUCUGUUUGAAACUAUUUUUUCCCCUUCCCUUUCCCUAUGGUCUUCUGUUAAGUUUCUCAAGUUCCACAUAUGAGUGGAAACAUAUGAUAUCUAUCUUUCUCUGAGUGACAUUUCACUUAGCAUAAUACACUCCAGUUCCAUCCACGUUGUUGCAAAUGGCAGGAUUUCAUUCUUUCUCAUUGCCAAGUAGCAUUCUGUUGUAUGUGAACCACAUCUUCUUUAUCCAUUCAUCAGUUGAUGGACAUUUAGGCUCUUUCCAUAAUUUGGCUAUUGUUGAAAGUGUUGCUAUAAACAUAGGGGUACAUGUGCCCCUGUGAAUCAGCACUCCUGUAUUCUUUGGAUAAAUUCCUAGUUGUGCUAUUGCUGGGUCGUAGGAUAGUUCUAUUUUUUUAAAUUUUUUAAUUAAUGUUUUUAUUUUUGAGAGAGAGAGAGAGAGAGAGAGAGAGAGCACGAGUGGGGGGAAGGGCAGAGAGAGAGGGACACACAGAAUCUGAAGCAGGCUCCAGGCUCUGAGCUGUCAGCACAGAACCCGACGUGGGGCUCAAACUCAUGAACCGGGAGAUCAUGACCUGGGCCGAAGUCGGAUGCUUAACUGACUGAGCCACCCAGACGCCCUGCGUAGUUCUAUUUUUAGUUUUUUGAGGAACCUCCCCACUGUUUUCCAGAGUGGCUGCACCAGUUUGCAUUCCCACCAACAGUGCAAGAGGGUUCCCAUUUCUCCACAUCCUCACCAACAUCUGUUGUUUCCUGAGUUGUUAAUUUUAGCCACUCUGACCGGCAUGAGGUGGUAUCUCAGUGUGGUUUUGAUUUGUAUUUCCCUGAUGCUGAGUGAUGUUGAGCAUCUUUUUAAGUGUCUGUCGGCCAUCUGGAUGUCUUCUUUGGAAAAAUGUCUAUUCAUGUCUUCUGCCCAUUUCUUCACUGGAUUAUUUGUUUUCAGAUGUUGAGUUUGGUAAGUUCUUUAUAGAUUUUGGAUACUAAGCCUUUAUCUGAUAUGUCAUCUGCAAAUAUCUUUUCCCAUCCUGUCGGUUGCCUUUUAAUUUUGUUGAAUGUUUCCUUUGCAGUGCAGAAGCUUUUUAUCUUGAGGUCCCAAUAACUUCAUUUUUGCUUUCAUUUCCCUUGCCUUUGGAGAUGUGUUGAGCAGGAAAUUGCUGCAGCUGAGGUCAAAGAGGUUGUUGCCUGUUUUCUCCUCUAGGGUUUUGAUGGUUUCCGCCUCAUAUUUAGGUCAUCCAUUUUGAGUUUAUUUUUGUGUAUUUUUAUGUUAAUUUUGUGUGUGUAUUUUUUGUACCCUUAGUCAAGGGUAAAACUGCAAGCAUUUAUACCCAUGGUCAGUAUUCCUUUGGGGUAACUCAUGACUUUUGAAUAUUAUGGAAACAACAAUAUAUCCCUACUUCCAAUGGGGAUAAAAUUAAAAAUGACUCCUAUGUCCAAAUUUUAUUAGAUGCAAUACCUUUUCCAGCUGCUCUGGAUAUUAUUAAGCUUUCCAGGCAUUCCAGACUCAACUCCCUGGAGGCCAAAAGAAAGCGCCUCACUGAUAUUUCCACCAAAAAUGCUGCUUGCAAGGAGGCCAGUAGCCAAACCUCUGUCUUGGUCCAAAGAGAUGUUAUCCCAAGUGAUAAUUUGGGUGGUGAGGAAUGAUCAGAGACACCCAAAGGAAAAACAGUAUUGAAAAUCUAAUAAUUGUUGGUUCAAUAGUCAUAGAGAACUUUGGUUUGGAGCAAAUAACAAUCCAGCUCUACCAGAAAUUCUAAAAUUCUCCCUACUUACAACUGUACAUGCAUCAAACCAUUGGUUUACUGAGAAAAUGACAACAUUCAUGAACCAAUUUUGGUUGGGAAAUAUUAAUAAGGUCUCACAAAGUACCUACCUCACUCAUCCCAUCUGUCCAAAGUAUAAUCCAGGGAAACCUGUUAAAAAAAUGGAUUUCAUACAGCUUCCCCAUCUUGUGGAUAUAAAUAUAUUUUAAUCAUGGUUUGUAUGUUUUCUCACUGGAUCAAAGCUUUCCCUUGUAGACAGGUCAGUCAUUCUACCAUGGCUAAAAUUGCUUCAGAAGAGAUUAUCCCUACCUGGGAAAAUCCCUCUCCAACUCUCUAGCUCGAGGGGAACCCAUUUCACUGGACAGGUGCUUUGACAAGUCUGCACUGUUUAGCUGGUUUUACGAAACUUUCAUUAGCAUACCAUCUUCAAUCCUCAGGGUUGACUGAAUGCACUAACAGCAUGGUUAAGACUCAAUUGGUAGGGAGUCUGAGUGGCUCAGUCGGUUAAACCUCUGGCUUGAUUUCAGCUCAGGUCAUGAUCUCACGAUUUGUGGGUUGAGCCCCAUGUUGAGCUCAGUGCUGACAAUGCUCUCUCUCAAAAUGAAUAAAUAUGCUUUAAAAAAGAGUCAAUUGGCAAAGUUUACAGAGGUCUUCCAAAUAUUUUGGCUGAAAGCAUAGUUGUUAGUCCUUCUAAACCUCAGAUCCACCCCUUUGGGAACACAGACUCACCCUCUGAGAUAGUCACAGGAUGGCCAAUGCAUUUGGCUAUGCCUCCUUUGAUCCACAGUUGAUAAAAGAACAAAGAACAUAUACUUCAAUAUUGUAAAAGCCUAGUUGGUUCUAUUAAAAGUAACCAUGCUUCGGUAGAGCCAUCUUUUCACAGUGUGCUCCUGGGAGACGAUGACCUUAAGCAUCACACCUUACAACCAGGAAAAGACUGCUCCAGAAGACUCUACUGCCUCACUGGAAAGGCCCUUAUCAGGAACUUCACACCAAGUCUUGUGCCACCAAACUCCAGGCAAUAGACUCUUGGAUUUACAUGAUGGAGCUAAAGAAAUAACCAACCCCGACUGGACCUGCACACCACCUCUUAAUCUGAAAGUAAAGAUUUCCCAAAGUGAAGCAGACAACAUCUGAUGAGACAACUUUCCCAAGAUGUUUGGAUCUUGCGUGCAUUUUUUCUCACUGUUGCUUCUUCUCUCUCUUUUAUGGGAAGAAAGGACCCCUGUCUGCAUUUUCCAAGCCCUCACGAAAGGGGAAACCUCUUGUUUUGACUAUGGCCUUUUGGAAACAGCCUCAUUGUGAUCCUGUGACAAAUUAAUUUUUCUCUUGCUUUUUCUGAAGGGUUAGAAGCUUCAGAAUUCACAAAAAUUUAUAUUUAAUAUAUAUAUAUUAAAAAUAUAUACACACACAUAUAUCUAUGUGUAU